UGGGGGAUAUUGCACAAUGGGCGAAAGCCUGAUGCAGCGACGCCGCGUGGGGGAUGAAGGCCUUCGGGUUGUAAACUUCUUUUGCUCUGAACAAGGCGCACCAUGGGGUGUGUUGAGUGUAGGGGUUGAUUAGCGCCGGCUAACUACGUGCCAGCAGCCGCGGUAAUACGUAGGGCGCGAGCGUUGUCCGGAAUUAUUGGGCGUAAAGGGCUUGUAGGUGGCUGGUUGCGUCUGUCGUGAAAGCUCAUGGCUUAACUGUGGGUUUGCGGUGGGUACGGGCUGGCUUGAGUGCAGUAGGGGAGGCUGGAAGUCCUGGUGUAGCGGUGGAAUGCGCAGAUAUCAGGAGGAAUACCGGUGGCGAAGGCGGGUCUCUGGGCUGUUACUGACACUGAGGAGCGAAAGCAUGGGGAGCGAACAGG
rnacentral:rRNA from 1 species